rnacentral:rRNA from 1 species
UGCCAGCCGCCGCGGUAAUACGGAGGGUGCGAGCGUUAAUCGGAAUUACUGGGCGUAAAGCGCACGCAGGCGGUUUGUUAAGCUAGAUGUGAAAGCCCCGGGCUUAACCUGGGAAUUGCAUUCGAUACUGCGUGGCUAGAGUAUGGUAGAGGAAAGCGGAAUUCCGGGUGUAGCGGUGAAAUGCGUAGAUAUCCGGAGGAACAUCAGUGGCGAAGGCGGCUUUCUGGACCGAUACUGACGCUGAGACGCGAAAGCGUGGGGAGCAAACAGGAUUAGAUA